UAGGGUUUAGGUUAAUAUAUAAACCAAGAGUUUUCAAAACUUUAAAUGGGUGUUAAACCCUCCCAACCCUAA
rnacentral:tRNA from 1 species